AGUCUUUUAGUCGGAGCCAGCGCGCAUGCACAAAAGGUGAGAGCGAACCGUGAAGCGCGUACGCAACUUAAUAUCGAGAAACCUACAACGUGAUAGCUGUCUAGGUAUAUUUCCUCCCGGUCGUCCGGAGGCGAACGGUUCAGUACGAAUCAAGCGAGCAACCUGUUCGGACAGACAAUCGAAGAGGUCCACGAGUGGUCAAAGAAUCACAGAACAGCCAAUCAGUGGAGUGAGUGAUAUAGCAGUUCAGUGUGUGGUGUUGGGGCGCAAUUUUGGAGAUUCAAGACAGAGAGAGAGUCAAGAAGCAACCCUCACAAGAUGCUGAUGAUGCUGCAUGGCUAAUUGGUUCAAGAUAUCGCACACGCUUUCAGUGAGACAAGCGAGCGCGCCCAAGUGCAAUUAUCGUGUUUUCCGAGGUGCGUUUCGUGUUCGCAAAAGAGGACGAAUUGAAACGAGAUUAUAGUGCAGUGUACACUCGAGAGGUGUCGUCAGUGUUUGGUGUACGAAGAAAGAAGAAAAUGAAGCGAUUUCAAGUGCACAAAGCAAGCCUUGCGGCGGCUUUGCUGGUCCUGAUCAGUGUUUUUGCCCAGUGGGCGCAGGGUACGGCUUUGGAACCCCUGGAAGGCAACGCCUACUAUGGGCGACGCAUCCGUGGUGGCGGUAACAGUGCCAACCGCAUGGUAUACCCCAACGAAAAUGAACGCUACAACGUCAUCAGUAAGGACGUGAAACGGGAGGUGGAUUGCGCGAAUGGCUGUUUCUACGAUGAUAUCCCGCUGGAGCUCGCCCUGGCGUUAGGCAAUAUCAGCAGCAGCGACGACGUGUUCAAUCAGGGCCUGGUCGAGGAGGACUCCAUCGAUCAUCGUAUCUUCAGCAACGGAUAUGGCGAACGAUCGAGUGGAGAAGUGCCCAAACCAGCCGGAUGUAACACCCAAGCGACGAUCGUGAGCCUUCGACCAGAGAACAACACCGAUCCUCGACUGAUCUACAGCCCUUCGUGCACACGAGUGGAACGCUGCAGCGGAUGCUGCGUGUCCAAGCGACUGUCCUGCCAACCAACGUCGACUAGGUUGAGGACCUUUUCGGUCAACGUUCUGGAGUACGUGUCCGGUACGAAGACGCGCUUCAAGAACCGUGAUCUGGCCGUAAUCGAAGAACACGUGGGCUGUGCCUGUCAGUGCCGAGUCAAGGAAGAGCACUGCACCGCCCUGCAGAAGUACAACGCACGCAACUGUCGGUGCGAAUGUAAGAACCUGGACGAUCGAUCUAAGUGCCUGCAACAGAGCGACAUCAAACAGUGGAACCCGGAGACGUGCCUGUGCGAGUGUCUGGAUCCGACGGAUUGCACCAGCGGGUCGUACUACGAUCACAACUACUGCAAGUGCCUUCAGUACGAUUUCUACAGCAUACAUUAACACAACAUGCACGCCAAAAGAAAUCCAAUUCGAACGCAUUACUUUAUUUCAUCACUGUGUUUAGUAGAGUAGUUAGGCCUGCAAUUCCAUAAAGGAAAAGAGCAUACAAUUCUUAUCACUUAAGACAAACAAUGAAGAAAGUGCCAAAUCAAUACACACUUUAGUUAUUAGAAGACGAACGAAUCGCUCGUGCUCGAGAAGCGAGUGGCUGAGACUGCAAGCUAUAUAUCCAUUAAUUUCAGAAAACAUAAAUCCUAAAUCCUACAAAAAUAAUCAAACCUACUUGUGUAAUUGUAACCGAAAAGAAAACCGAAUCGGGUGCGUGUUGUUUUGCUGUGAAUGUUUAGUUUGAUCGUCCGUCAGGUUCGCCCAGAACUACUCUUAUUGGUUGAUAGGUUGCCUCGGUACGCGCGUUGGGUUCCUAUUCCAUCUACUCGGCCACACGCUCCCGCAACCAAUCGUCCAUGGACCGCAGGCGACUAAUUCUGAAACCCGUCCCGUCGUUGUCCUAGUUCGGCAUAAUCUCCCAAGACCACAAUCCGCAGAUUGGAACCGCAAAAGAGAGGGUGCCGCCGUUUCCGAAUGAUGCGUUUCCCAAAUGGAAGCGCAACCAGUGAAUCAGGAAGAGCCGACCCCGUAUCAAUCCAGUAUACAGAUGUUAUCGCGAGACAAUACAAACGAAGAAUGGAAAGCUAUAAGAGCACAAUGACGGAUUAUUCGCUGAAAUCGACAGUACAAAUAAAUAGGACGGCAUGAAGAGAUUGUUGGAGACAAAAAAAAAGUCGAAGAAAAUCUACAUUUAAUACAGUGACAGUCAAAAACACUUGAAGACCACCCUCAAUCAAAUUUAUCACAAUCGCUUAAUUUCUAUGUUUACAGUUUAUUGCCAUUGUGAUUUUGCAUCUUUCAUGUAAUUUUACAGUUCAAUUUCACGAAUAAUGCACUCACAGAGUAUAACAAUGGUAACGGCGACGAAAAACAUAACCUCUGGAGAAGGAUACUUGGAGCAUUUCUUCGAGUAAUGCGUGAAGAAAUUCCUGCAUAACUUGUGAAAUAGUCGCAUAAGAAUCUCUGAAAGUAUCCUUGGAGCCCCUAUAAUUUUGUACUAGGUUUUAUUCACAAGGGAAAAAAUACUUUAGAGGCCAAUUUGGUGAAGACUUUAGAGAUCUUUCAUAAGGAAAUAGACUUUCUAGAGAGAUGCAUCAAAAUAGGGACCAAGUCUCUAAAAAGAGACCUGCUAUCAAUCUUGUUGUUAUGGAUUUUUUGUACAAAUCAAUCCACUCUUUUGAUCUUGGACAAAACAAAGCCAUUUUGAGAAGAAAAACUUUGAAAUAUUCGUUAUAGUUCUAAUACAAAAACAAAAUUAAACACAUAAUUCGUAGGUAAUAUACAUAGUCCACGCCAUUAUCAAACUAUUUACAUGUAAAAACUCCAGUGUUCUGCUAGAAGAUAAGAUAUUCUACAAGAAAUCAUAGAUAGAAUUGUAUUAUAUAUUCAGUAGACUGCCCAUAACUGCAUAUUUGUAACAUUCGACAAAAGUAGGCAUUGAGUAAAUGGAAUGCUAAGUGCGCAUUUUAUGGCAGUGUGGGAGGAAACUAAAAUUUCUAAAAAUUACCAGGAACUCAAAAAUGCUUAUUUUAGACUGAUUGUUUGUACAACUCAUAUCGCAUACUAGGUGAAUUGUCAGAAAAUAUUUCUGAGAGAAAUUUCAUUGCUAUCACAUUACGAGGCUCAUUUAUAAUCUCAAUGUGACUGUUAUGCGGUUAUAAUUACCAAUGUGACAAAACAACUUGGUAUUUUUUUCGAAUUUUCUAGAACAAUCUCACAGAUUUCAGUAAGUUGAUCGAAAGUAUUUAUCAUUUGAUGACUCUCCAUGGUAUUAACUCCAUUUUGUCAAAAAUGUCGAAUGUGACUGUUUUGCAGUUAUGGGCAGUAGAGGUAUAAUGGUAUUGUCGCGUAGUUUUUCAAGCUAUUUAUGUUCAUAUGAGUUGCUGCUAACUUUUUUGCUCUUUUUAUGUUAUGCAAAUGCGUUUUUCGUAAAAUUGAAUACUUCAAUUUAAUUUGUAAAUACAAAAUUACAAGGGCAAUAUUAUGUUAAAAUACAGUUAAAUUAUUAGCGAACAUAAAUUGUUUAAUGGGGUGGUCUUAAAAUUUUAUCCGUCAUUGUAUGUAAA